UCUCCGUUGGUGAACCAGCGGAGGGAUCAUUACAGGACUCGCAAGACUCCUUCACCCUGUGAACCUCACUACAAGCACGUUGCUUCGGCGGGUGUCCCGGCGGGGGUUUUCCCUCGCCGGGGCGCACAGCCCGCCGGCAGCCUACUAUACUCUGUCUCUUUGCGUUGGCAUCUCGAGAAAAAACAAACAAGUUAAAACUUUCAACAACGGAUCUCUUGGUUCCG
rnacentral:misc_RNA from 1 species